rnacentral:rRNA from 1 species
GAUGAACGCUGGCGGCGUGCCUAAUACAUGCAAGUCGAACGCAUUGUGGUUGAAAUGAUAUGAAGAACUUGUUCAGAUUUGAUUUUCAACAUUGCAAUGAGUGGCGAACGGGUGAGUAACACGUGGGAAACCUACCUCUUAGCAGGGGAUAACAUUUGGAAACAAAUGCUAAUACCGUAUAAUAAUUAAAACCGCAUGGUUUUAGUUUGAAAGAUGGUCUUGCUAUCACUAAGAGAUGGUCCCGCGGUGUAUUAGUUAGUUGGUGAGGUAAUGGCUCACCAAAGACAAUGAUACAUAGCCGAGUUGAGAGACUGACCGGCCACAAUGGGACUGAGACGCGGCCCAUACUCCUACGGAGGCAGCAGUAGGGAAUCUUCCACAACUGGACGAAAGU